UUCUGAUUUCUGCUUUCUGCUUUUGAUGGAUUUGGCGAGAGUGAGGAUCGCAGACUCCACCCCUGUAACUAUAUCUAAGACGGUCCAACUCUCAUAUACGAAGCUUAUUAUAGGGUGGCUUAACUACUACACGAUGGUUGAGAAAUUUGAUUCAUCAAGGGGGUUCAAAAUCUCUACUUAUGUUUACUGAUGGAUACGUCAGGGUGUUUCAAGAGCACUGGUUGAAAAUUCCAGAACCUUACUACUGCCUACACAUUUGCAUGAGAGGUUAGGGUUAAUCAAAAAUGCAAAAGUUAGAUUGGAAGAGAAACGAAUAACUCCAUCUAUCGAUG